AAAGCUUACAACUAUCUCAGUUUCGCACGCGACGCGCCACAAAAAGGACGCGCAACCGAGGCAACCCGUACCGAGUGCACACAGUAAUACAUUUUUUUUGUUGUUGUUGUUGUUAACCGGAAAAAGAAAAUAUUAUUUUUCUCGACCCGGAAAAGUGAAACGGUGUAGAUUCGAUCAGACUUUGACAGUGCUUUGUGAUCCGGAUUUUGUUUAGUCUUCCGUGCAGAAAGGUAUCGAAUUUCCGGUGUUCGCAUAGGAUCAGUGAGUGCGCGCGUUUUCCUUUUGUGCCGAUUUGUAAUUAAGUGUCUAGGAUGGUCUAGGAUACAUUAGCGUACAUCGAUUUUCAGCUUAACAUGCAGAAGCG